CACGCGGGCAGGAACGUGGCAGGCCGCAGAGGGUUGCCAUUCAUUCCUCGUGCGGUUCAACAACAUGGUCCAAGA
rnacentral:snoRNA from 14 species